GUGCUAGUAUUCCUCUGUCUC
ensembl:piRNA 21ur-3068 ncRNA